rnacentral:rRNA from 1 species
AACGAACGCUGGCGGCGUGCCUAACACAUGCAAGUCGAGCGGGAAAGUUCCCUUCGGGAGCGAGUACAGCGGCGAACGGGUGAGUAACACGUAGGUAACCUACCCUGGAGAUCGGGAUAACCUGCCGAAAGGCGGGCUAAUACCGGAUAAGACCACGAGGGCUGCGGCCCUUGAGGAAAAAGAUGGCCUCUGCUUGCAAGCUAUCACUCUGGGGAUGGGCCUGCGCGCCAUUAGCAGUUGGUGAGGUAACGGCUCACCAAGGCUGAGAUGGCUAGCUGGUCUGAGAGGAUGGCCAGCCACACUGGGACUGAGACACGGCCCAGACUCCUACGGGAGGCAGCAGUGGGGAAUCUUGCGCAAUGGGCGAAAGCCUGACGCAGCGACGCCGCGUGA